AUGAGAGCUGAGAAAUGGCUCAACACCUUUGUCCGCUUCAUUGUCUUGCUAGAGAGGGCGGGUAACGGAAUCGGCACCCUAGCAUUCAUCUGGGCGACGGUGGUCGUGCUCGGCGGCUUCUCAACCUACCUGGGCGCUGAUUUCUGGGUCGCCACUUUGAUAGUCUUCCUCGAGGGUUUCAGGGCGUUUAGCAGACAAAGCAGAUCAGAUGACCAAUUAUUAUUCAAGACUACAGGAGGCAUUGACCUCAAAAGGAUCGAGCUAGGCCGUGGAUCUCUGUAUUAUAUGAAUGCAAUAAUGAUGACGGGUUGUCUUUUCGAACUGAUGCUGAGCUGCUUCCUACCUACCUUUUACCCGGCGACUGACCUCCUUUGUUUUUUGUUGUUACUGGUGAUAGUACACAAGAUGGGUUUUUACACAGUUCUUGAAUACAUUAGCGGGAAGGAGAGCCACAUGCUGUUGCAACUUUCUCCACCGGUUAUUCCCAUUAUAGUUGGGCUUUCAACCUACUAUAGAAAAAUACGUAGGAUGUAUAACUGGGCCGAUUACUCGCUUAUCCCUGUAUGGUUUGGCAUCUACAUUUUAGCAAGGUUUGGUUUGCCAGAAAAUAAUUGCCCUUUUCACAAAAGAGUUAAAUUACUAGCACGACUAUCACGUGCCAUAUUGCUUGUUGCAGCAAUUUAUAUGAUUAACACCUGGUUUGAGUCUGUCGGCUGGUUGGUGCUGUUAAGUCCAUCGGUGUUCGGCAACCUGCAAACUCCAAUGGCUCUCGCACGAAUCAUAGUGUCAUGGGCGUGGCUUUUCUGGAAUGAGAUUCAAAUUCAUGACACCAAAAACGAAAAUGUCAGGCUAGCGGUUAUGGCCUUGUACAUAAUGGUGUUGAGCCAAGGGAUACUAUAUUUGACGGCGUGCUUACUAGAGUCAUUAUCCUUCUUGUUUCGGAGAUCACUAGCCCUUGCAUGUGCACUCGUAGAUGAGAUGGGGAUGGACUCAAUUGAUCUCUACUAUGAACAAGCCUACGACACCUUCUUGCAAGAAAGUCUCUUCGACACUACAAAGAAGAUGAGCCUUGUCACUUUUGCUGUGGUUUGCCUAAACCCAGACGCCUCACGAGACAAGAAGCGCGCUGCUGUUCGUAUCCUGCACUCCUUUGUGCAACAGCAAAACAAGACCUGUUGUUCCGGGACAGAGCUCAUCUCUCUAAUCACAACAUCUACCAAGGCAGUGACAGCCUUGAUUAGCAUGUUGGGUUGGACAGUCACCGAAGACGCAGAUAUCAGGCUAUUCGCUGCAAAGGUCACAGCUCAUCUUGCUCCAUAUCUACGGAUCGCCGGGACUGCUGGAACCAUGCAGAUGGUGUCUUCACUUCUUGACGCCCAAGAUCAACCAAUGACACAUCAAAUUUCAAUCCUGAUUGUGGAUGGCAAUGGAGGUAAUGGAGAUGCUCUUCAAAUAAGCAAUGGUUCAAGUUCUCCAUCAAGGAAUUCAACUUUGGACACUGAAGGAGGUCAUGCAUCAGCAGUGCGAGGUUGCUCUCUGGUACACACAUUCUUUCUUUUUCUGAUAGGGUGGAUACACAGAUUUUGGCAGCACCUUAAGAAAAUGCAGGCAAUUCCACAGAAGGGUUUGAAGGAUAACCACUCGCUCCCUGCACUGGGCAUGCAAAUCCUUGAAGGGCUUUCUCACGAUCUCCACAAUUGUGAAGAAAUCAGUAGGGAAACAGAGCUCAUCCCAAAGAUCAUAGGAUUCAUAAGCUGCAUUCCUGGCACAACAACAUCGCAGCGGGAAGAGAUCGUCACUUCAUCAUUGAAAUUAGUUGAAAAGCUUGCAAGCGUCAAGGGGGAAGUCGGCAUAAAACUGCGGCAAAAGAUUUCUGAGAAUUCAUUCCUAAUUGGUGACCUCGCCGAGAUCUUGGAGAAUGAGGGCAACUCGAGCUACCUAGUACAAUCAAAGCUGGUUAUAGAUAUCAUCACCAAGAUCACCACAGAUACAAAAACUAGGCAGGAGAUUGGGACGGUACAAGUUAUCAUUGACAAGUUGGUGCAGCAGUUUAUUGGGGAAGAGGAGUCAUCAAAUCCACUGCAAGCAGAGGCAGGGGAAGCACUUGCGAUGUUGGCAAUUGAUAGCCCUGACAACUGCUCUGCUAUAUUGGACAAAACAGAUUUUGAGCUUAUCGGGGAUCUCGCCAACAAGCUUCAGGGUGGUACUCACAUGUGCCCAGCAGCAAGUCUACUCCGGAGUCUCUGCAAAAACUCAAGGCAAUUAGUGCUGAGACAUGAAGGUUCAAACAAUCACCUGCCAUCUACAUUAACAGUAGUCUUGGGAAGAAUAAAGGAUGCAGAUGGCAAGCAGGUGGAGGCCCUAAUCGGCCUAGCUUCACAAAUCUGCAGUGUCAUGUCAGAACGCAUUGCCCCUGUUUUGGACACGUUUGCAGAUGAUGGGGCAUUUGUUAAAAAACUUGUGGGUGAACUCAAUGCUCGCAUGAAACCAAGUCCUGAUGAAUUUCCAGAAAUGAGAAGCCUGCUGAUUGAGCUCACAGUAUCCAUUGUGGAAUUCUGCCCUUACUACGCACCCAUCUUCAAGGAGCACAAGAUGAUGGAAGCCCUGUCCAAGGUGGAACGUUACACGGGGGAGGUUUCAGAGGAGGCCAGAGCUCUGCGCGCCAUUGUCACCACUGCAAAGAGGCUGAUCGGCGCCAAUACGCCGUGA
rnacentral:rRNA from 1 species